GAGAGUAGGUAUUAGUUAGACAGAGAGUAAGGUAUUGGUUAGACAGAGAGUAAGGUAUUGGUUAGACAUAGAGUAAGGUAUUAGUUAGACAGAGAGUAAGGUAUUAGUUAGACAGAGAGUAAGGUAUUGGUUAGACAGAGAGUAGGUAUUAGUUAGACAGAGAGUAGGUAUUAGUUAGACAGAGAGUAAGGUAUUGGUUAGACAGAGAGUAGGUAUUAGUUAGACAGAGAGUAGGUAUUAGUUAGACAGAGAGUAAGGUAUUGGUUAGACAGAGAGUAGGUAUUGGUUAGACAUAGAGUAAGGUAUUAGUUAGACAGAGAGUAAGGUAUUAGUUAGACAGAGAGUAAGGUAUUGGUUAGACGGAGAAAAAGGUAUUGGUUACAUGAGAGAAAA